rnacentral:rRNA from 1 species
AGCUUAACUCCGAAACUGCAUUCGAUACUGCGGUGCUUGAGGACUGGAGAGGAGACUGGAAUUCAUGGUGUAGCAGUGAAAUGCGUAGAGAUCAUGAGGAAGACCAGUGGCGAAGGCGGGUCUCUGGACAGUUCCUGACACUGAGGCACGAAGGCCAGGGGAGCAAACGGGAUUAGAUACCCCGGUAGUCCUGGCAGUAAACGGUGCACGUUUGGUGUGGGAGGAUUCGACCCCUUCCGCGCCGGAGCUAACGCGUUAAACGUGCCGCCUGGGGAGUACGGUCGCAAGAUUAAAACUCAAAGAAAUUGACGGGGGCCCGCACAAGCGGUGGAGUAUGUGGCUUAAUUCGAUGCAACGCGAAGAACCUUACC